rnacentral:lncRNA from 1 species
AAUGCCACAGGCAAUGCCUUCAGAAACGCUUUCUUUUAUCAGAAUUCAAAGAACAAACUCUUCAUCCUAAGAGAUUUCCUGGGCUCUGUAGGAAGCUUCCUUUUGCUCCUGGUGCACUGUUUUGCUCACAUCACUGCUACUGACUUCAAUGAGGACUCCAACCCAGUCUUUCUGAGGGUUUUUUAUCAGGCACUAAAGGCUUGUUUCAGUGAAAUGUUCUCCCUCAGACUCCAGAUGUCAGCAGUUCUUCAGGGUGAUAAAUCCUCUGCAGUAAGUGAGAUGGUGCUGAAGG